rnacentral:rRNA from 1 species
GAUGGAAGUAAAAGUCGUAACAAGGUCUCCGUUGGUGAACCAGCGGAGGGAUCAUU